UAACUGGAGAGUUUGAUCCUGGCUCAGAACGAACGCUGGCGGCGUGCUUAACACAUGCAAGUCGAACGCGAAAGGGACUUCGGUCCUG
rnacentral:rRNA from 1 species